UGGUCGGGUAAUCUACUAGCAUCUCUCUCACCGUAUAUAACCUCAAUUAUAGUAGCAGCUAUUCAAGCCCAAAGGCAUCUUUAUUCAAUAUUCCUCAACACACAUGCACCCAUACACACCCAUAAACCACACAAACCAUUUUCAUCCAUCUGUCCCUCAUACACUGUCCGCCAACUUCCCAGCACUCCCCUCACUCACUCCACCAUAGACCAUACCUCUCUGUUUGUCCCCUUCCCAAACAAACAGGUCUAUCCCCUAGCCCAUUCCAAACCCCCUGUGGCCGACACCUCAUCACAACAAGUUAUGUUUCUGUGUGUUAUUAUACGUGUUCACUCAGUCACAGUGUAGGUGGCCCACCGUCCAACCCCAACCACUUUCACUACCCUGGGUCUGUGCUGGCUAUAACCCCAACCUCCACCUCCCUCUCCCCCCCGCUGGCUGCUCGAUUGUGGGGCAGAGGAUUAUGCGAGGGGGAGGCUCGUAAAGGGCCUGCCAAGGUCUUUCUGGGCUGUGACGGAUGGAUGGGAGACUGAAGGCACCAUUAGCAUGAGAAGAGAGGAGGGAGAGAGGAGGGAGAGCGAGAAUAGAGGUGCAUUCAAUGGGCCUGUCAGAGAAGACUGAGGAACAACCCCGCCCUCCUUUCCAUUCCUCCACCUCCUUCGCCACCAAAACCCACCACCCUUCUCUUCUUUUCUUUAGCCAGACUUCUCUCUCUCCUCCAACUUUUCUAUCUCCUUUCUUCCUUCACUUCUUCAACUUAUUCCCUCCUUUCUUUCUGUCUGUCUUUCUUUCAUUCUUUCUCUGCCUCUCUCUAAUCUAUCUGUCUUUCUCUGCCCCUCUCUAAUCUAUCUUUCCUUCUCUGCCCCUCUCUAAUCUAUCUUUCUUUCCUUUUUUAACCCCCGUUUCUUAGUUGAUUUCGUCUCACUUAAUUUCUGUUCAUUCUCAUUUCCUUUCCAUUAAGCUCAAUGUUAUCGGGGUGAUUAACAUAGCAUUUGAAUCCUCAUUAUUUGGUCUGGUGCGAAUGACUCUGACAAUAAACUCUAAAGUAGGGUUUAGAUACACACUGCCCUGAGUGGGACUCAGUGGCCAUGAUGUCAUGCUAGGCUUCUCAAAUGCACAUUAAGUGACUGACACCCAAUUCUGUAAAGGGUGUCAGGGACAUACAUCCAAUUCUGUAAAGGGUGUCAGGGACAUACAUCCAAUUCGGUAAAGGGUGUCAGGGACAUCAACUUCGGUAAAGGGUGUUUGGGACACCAUAUUCGUUAAAGGGUGUCAGGGACAUCCACUUCAGUAAAGGGUGAUAGGGACCUCCACUUCAGUAAAGGGUGAUAGGGACCUCCACUUCAGUAAAGGGUGAUAGGGACCUCCACUUCAGUAAAGGGUGAUAGGGACCUCCACUUCAGUAAAGGGUGAUAGGGACCUCCACUUCAGUAAAGGGUGAUAGGGACCUCCACUUCAGUAAAGGGUGAUAGGGACCUCCACUUCAGUAAAGGGUGGCAGGGUGUUAUGAAUUAGAUUCUAGCUUAAUAUGAAUUAAUCAUUAACCUUUUUUCCAAGAUGGCGUAGCAGUCGGACGUGUGUUUGUCUUUGUCUUAUCCCGUUUUUUUUGUAUAUAUUUUAAUCUCACUUUCUAUCUACGAACUAAAUAUACUUUCAUGCAACCCGCCUCACCCAAUGUGGUACGGAUCUGCUAUUUGUAUUCCUUAUAACUGGAACCUCCAUCAAGAGCUAGCCAUCUAACUAGCUACUAGCUAUCAGUCUUUGUUAGCCACGGCUAGCGGUCUUCACCUUUAGCUCGGACACCAGCGAGCCUUAACUCGGACAAUACCUGCCAGUCUGCACAGCGCGAUAUCAACUCAGAGCAUAUCGGACUGCUUCUC
rnacentral:lncRNA from 1 species